rnacentral:rRNA from 1 species
CAGGGAUUGCCUCACUAACGGCGAGUGAAGCGGCAACAGCUCAAAUUUGAAAUCUGACCCNNUCGGGGCCCGAGUUGUAAUUUGUAAAGGGUGUUUCGGGCGCGGCGCCGGUCUAAGUUCCUUGGAACAGGACGUCACAGAGGGUGAGAAUCCCGUAUGUGACCGGCGAUCAAGCCCAUGUGAAGCCCCUUCNACGAGUCGAGUUGUUUGGGAAUGCAGCUCAAAAUGGGUGGUAAAUUUCAUCUAAAGCUAAAUAUUGGCCAGAGACCGAUAGCGGACAAGUNGAGUGAUCGAAAGAUGAAAAGCACUUUGGAAAGAGAGUCAAACAGUACGUGAAAUUGUUGAAAGGGAAGCGCUUGCAAUCAGACCGGUCCGGGGGCGAUCAGCCGCUGCUCGUCAGCGGUGCACUCGCCCUCGAUCCGGCCAGCAUCGGUUUGGGCGGCGGGAGAAAAGUCCCGGGAAUGUAGCUUCCUUCGGGGAGUCUUAUAGCCCGGGUCGGCAUGCCGCCCGCCUGGACCGAGGACCGCGCUUCGGCUAGGAUGCUGGCAUAAUGGUUGCAAGCGACCCGUCUUGAAACACGGACCAAGGAGUCUAACAUCUAUGCGAGUGUUUGGGUGUCAAACCCGGGCGCGGAAUGAAAGUGAACGGAGGUGGGAACCCGU